AAGAACAAGUAGACGCUUCGCGUCUACUUUGGUCCGUGGGGACCAGUAGAAAUUUUUAAAAUUUUUGUCAGUACUACAAAAAAAAAUCUCCACAAUUAUCCAAGGAGUGCCCUAAACACGCAGUGGGGAAGAGACCUGCCGUAUCCUCAUAAGGCUCUGAGUUCAAAUCUUAGCCUCGGCAUGGUGCUCUACCCAACUUUUUCUUUUUUUAGUACUUCGAAAAAAUUAACAUCUAUAGUAAAUCCAAAAAUCUCAUCCAUUAUUCUCUAAGAGACCAACAUACAAAAUUGACGAAAAACAAAGAAAAACACAAAGUCACGGUCUCACAACAUGUAAUUAAACGGGCUACACGUGUUUCGCUCUAGUUAGAGCAUCAUCAGGCCUUUAGAAGCCAUCCACACACUUAUGCUGUAACUGAUGAUGCUCUAACUAGAGCGAAACACGUGUAGCCCGUUUAAUUACAUGUUGUGAGACCGUAACUAUGUGUUUUUCUUUGUUUCUCGUCAAUCUAUAGUAAAUACAGAGAGAAAAGGGAAGGUCUUAUUAUAUAUUAUAAUCAGAAAUAAAUUUCAUGGACAUAUUACUUACUUAUUUCUGGGUAUCAUGCUUCAGAGAACCAUGAUGUAUUACAAUACGCUCCGCUCUUUAAUUUUAGUUUAUUUAUAUUCUCAAAACUUGCAUAUAUCAAAAUUAUGUCAGGGUUCUAAAAUGAAUCGGUAAUAAAAUCGUAAACCAGAUCAACAUUGGAAAUAAUUUAAAAAAUUUGCUUUGGUCCGAUUGAAAAAAGUACUAUACUACCAAAUAGUUACAUCUAUUCUGUAGCAAUAAAAGUUAUAAAAUUCUGUCUAUUAUUAAUUUUAAUAUUAUAAAGUGUAUCGUUUAACUCUUAGCCAUUAUUUAUAAUUUAAUUGUUAAUUAUGCCUAAAAAAACGAAUUAACAACUUUGGUAUUGUUUGGAAGGUAAACAGCUUAAUUCCUUUAUGUAAAGCCACCUUAACAUGUUUUUGCAUAAUUCUGACUCACGUUGGUUGCUAUCGGGCUUAAGCCAUAAAAAUCGAAGAAAAAAAGAAGAAGACGAAGAGACUUUCACUUGUCAUUUCAAUGUCACUUUCCGGCCCACAAGCAUAAACGCCACCGGCAACGGAAGUUCCCAAAAUCCAAACAAAUGUUGGAAGAUAUUUUUAAGUCUCCGCAUCUUUCUUACUUUCCUAUAUGAAAAUAAAAUUGGACUACACCAACAAAGGUUAUGUGUUUUGCACCAGAUUGAAAGCAUCAUAGCGAAAAACGGACCUGUCAUAUCUUUAAAUUUUCAAAAGAGCCCCUGGAAAAAGAAAAAUGAAUAUCUUUCCCAAUGAAUAGGCAAAUGGAUAAAAAACCUUCAGUCCAUGCAUUGGUAUGUAAUUGUUGACAAAAAUACAAUGAAUGGCCUCACUACUUUUCCACAUGCAAAGAGGUUAACCAAGGAGAAAUUAAAGAAAUUGUCAAAAACCUAGGUAAAUACAGAAUUGCUUAGUACAAACAUAUCUAUACCCAGUACAAGUUCGUCCACUUCUUUGAAGCAUGGUACUUCAAACAGAAACACUGUCAACAAUUUUGUAGAAGGUGAGCCGGUGUCGAAUUCCAGUAAGGGACAUGAUUUCAAUUUUGCACCAACAACAGAGCUAAAAUUCAUUUUGCCGCAAAAAACUGGAGGAUGUGAAAGAAAAAAGUGCAGAAGUUAAAUUAAGUUUUUCAUAUGAGCACAUAAAAAAUAAUCAUGACAAAGUUCAGUUGUAUACAGGUUUGACAUGUAAUAAAUAUUUUUGUAAUCUUAUUAAGUUAAUUAGUUUUAUAUAUUAUUUAAAUAAUAAUUGUAUACUUCACAUAGAAUAUGCAGAAAUUAUAUGUACAUAUAUAAAUUUUUUUAUUAAGAUAAGGACAACAUGUAUUAAAGCAUAACACAUAAUAUAAACACACACGUAAUAUCUUCAUUAAAAAUUAUGAUUGUAUGUUAUGUAGCAUUAGAGCCUAAAAACAUUAAGGAGAAUAAAGGUCGUUAUUGGCAAAUGACAAUAUUAUUUUCUCAAUUUCCUACAUUUUUGGUGAAGGGAAUAGGCUCUGCCCUAAAAAGCCAGGUUAAACCAAGAGCAAAAAAGUUUAGGUCUCAUGAGUGUAAGUAAAGUAAACCUUUCUAUUAAAAAGGCCAUCCAAGAUAAAAAAAAAUAUACUAAAAAUAUUAAUGUUAAUUCUUUAGCGACAUCUAGGGUGGAUAUGCUGAAUCAACUCAUCAAUUAAUUCACUGUCGUACUGAUGAAAGUUAUGGCGUAUUCACCAAAGUAUGCAGAUAAUCGCUGAAAAAUAAUUUUAUUUGCGUUUUCAAAUUAUGCUUAAAAUUCAAAACUUCUUUUUUUACCUUAAAGGCCAUGCAAAACUUAGUAGAAAAGUUUAUUAAGUAAAUUUUCCACGAUUUAUACGUGCCACAAGAUAAAGGGAAAAGAGGGUCCCAUUUAUUAGGGUAUUGGGAUAAGACAACUAGGUUUUAUGUCGAUUUUUUUUAUUUUCCAUUUUUAUUUUGAAAAGCAAUUGUAAUAAAAUAUAAAAAGAAUUAACAGGAAAAGAAUCGGUAAUAAAAGAAACUAUUAACGAAUUGAAUCGAAGCUAUAGAAGCCGAGAUAUUAGUAAAAAUGUGGGAAAAACAAAAGAAAACUGGUUUUUUCCCACGGUACAAUUUUUUUUUUUUUAAAUGAUUAUUGACAAAUUUUAAAGUAAGCCCUAAACUAAC